rnacentral:rRNA from 1 species
UACGUAGGCAGCAAGCGUUGUUCGGAGUUACUGGGCGUAAAGGGUGUGUAGGCGGUUCUUUAAGUUUGGUGUGAAAUCUCCCGGCUCAACUGGGAGGGUGCGCCGAAUACUGAGGGACUAGAGUACGGGAGAGGAAAGUGGAAUUCCUGGUGUAGCGGUGAAAUGCGUAGAUAUCAGGAGGAACACCGGUGGUGUAGACGGCUUUCUGGACGAUUACUGACGCUGAGACGCGAAAGCGUGGGGAGCAAACAGG